CCUACGGGUGGCAGCAGUGGGGAAUAUUGGACAAUGGGCGAAAGCCUGAUCCAGCCAUGCCGCGUGUGUGAAGAAGGCCUUCGGGUUGUAAAGCACUUUCAGUGGGGAAGAAAGCCUUGGGGCUAAUACCCUCGAGGAAGGACAUCACCCACAGAAGAAGCACCGGCUAACUCCGUGCCAGCAGCCGCGGUAAUACGGAGGGUGCGAGCGUUAAUCGGAAUUACUGGGCGUAAAGCGCGCGUAGGCGGUCUGAUAAGCCGGUUGUGAAAGCCCCGGGCUCAACCUGGGAACGGCAUCCGGAACUGUCAGGCUAGAGUGCAGGAGAGGAAGGUAGAAUCCCCGGUGUAGCAGUGAAAUGCGUAGAGAUCGGGAGGAAUACCAGUGGCGAAGGCGGCCUUCUGGACUGACACUGACGCUGAGGUGCGAAAGCGUGGGUAGCAAACAGGAUUAGAUACCCGGGUAGUC
rnacentral:rRNA from 1 species